AUUUCUUCUUUUUUCCAUUUUAGGUAAAGGAGUAUUUGAAAUGAUGAAUUUUGAAAGAUAUGGAGAAGUAGUCUCUGGGAGCCCAGGAAUAUGACCUCAUGCUGGGUUUUGCAGCCAAUUAAAAAGGAUACCCAAAGGAUCAAGGAGUGAACCUUGUAUGUGACCUUCAGGACAGCCCUGUGGGAGUGAAAAGAGGAAUCACCUGGCAGGUGGUGCUAAUGGUCAAUAGCAGUUACUGGAGCUCUUGGCCAAUGACGGUCAGUUCUCUCUCUGACCAAUCAGGAACUACUAAGCUGAAGCCUUCUCUCCACUGACUGCUUCUAUCAACCACAAUUUCACAGGUUGUAAGAUAUGGUAGAGCGUGAAAAACAUUGAAAGUCUUAGAAAAGAAAGUUAAGGCCCGUCUUGUGAUCAGCCAAAGUUGGAUGUACAAUUCUCUUCUGAGAAGAAAAACAAAAGUCUG
rnacentral:lncRNA from 1 species